rnacentral:rRNA from 1 species
UGGCUCAGGACGAACGCUGGCGGCGUGCCUAAUACAUGCAAGUCGAGCGGACAGAAGGGAGCUUGCUCCCGGAUGUUAGCGGCGGACGGGUGAGUAACACGUGGGUAACCUGCCUGUAAGACUGGGAUAACUCCGGGAAACCGGAGCUAAUACCGGAUAGUUCCUUGAACCGCAUGGUUCAAGGAUGAAAGACGGUUUCGGCUGUCACUUACAGAUGGACCCGCGGCGCAUUAGCUAGUUGGUGAGGUAACGGCUCACCAAGGCGACGAUGCGUAGCCGACCUGAGAGGGUGAUCGGCCACACUGGGACUGAGACACGGCCCAGACUCCUACGGGAGGCAGCAGUAGGGAAUCUUCCGCAAUGGACGAAAGUCUGACGGAGCAACGCCGCGUGAGUGAUGAAGGUUUUCGGAUCGUAAAGCUCUGUUGUUAGGGAAGAACAAGUGCAAGAGUAACUGCUUGCACCUUGACGGUACCUAACCAGAAAGCCACGGCUAACUACGUGCCAGCAGCCGCGGUAAUACGUAGGUGGCAAGCGUUGUCCGGAAUUAUUGGGCGUAAAGGGCUCGCAGGCGGUUUCUUAAGUCUGAUGUGAAAGCCCCCGGCUCAACCGGGGAGGGUCAUUGGAAACUGGGAAACUUGAGUGCAGAAGAGGAGAGUGGAAUUCCACGUGUAGCGGUGAAAUGCGUAGAGAUGUGGAGGAACACCAGUGGCGAAGGCGACUCUCUGGUCUGUAACUGACGCUGAGA